CUUGUGAACUGGCAACGUAUUUGUGCCCCAAAGGAUGUUGGAGGCUUGGGCAUAAAAGACAUUCAUGCAUAUAGCAGAGCCCUCAGGCUGAGAUGGGCGUGGUUUGAGUGGGAUUCUAGUCCAAGGCCAUGGAAGGGCACGACCACCCCCUGCGACUCCAUUGAUCGGCAGCUCUUCCAAGCCUGUACUCGGAUCUCAGUUGGCGAUGGGAAACAAGCUCUAUUUUGGUCUGAUCGAUGGCUGCAUGGCAUGGCUCCUAAGGAUUGUUACCCACUUAUGUUCUCCCUCUCCCGAGCCAAGACCACGACUGUGGCCGAUGCUAUAACUACUGGAAGUUGGCUGAGAGGGCUGCGACAAAUGAACUCCGCUGAGCUGCUGGACUCGUUUGUAGAUUUGUGGACGCGCAUCCAGUCCAUCCAGCUAACCGCAGAGCCGAACACGAUUACUUGAACGCCCAAUACAAAUGGUGUUUACUCUGCAAAAUCUGCCUACAAUGUCCAAUUCCAUACCCGGAUCCCAAUGCCACACCUUGCGGCUGCUUGGGCGUUCCGAGCUGAGGCCAAGAUCAAAUUCUUUGCCUCGGUUGUCACCUGGUGGGAGGCGAUUUUGCCUCUUCGGAAAAAAGGAGUAGGCACUGACCACUGCACCUUCUCAGCUUAUGUGGCCUGGAAUCUUUGGAACGAGAGAAACCAUAGAGUUUUCCAAAACAAGAUGACGAAUUCAGCCGAUGAGAUCAGCCUCUAG
rnacentral:rRNA from 1 species